CCAAAACGGGGUGGGGGUGGGGGUGGGGGGUUGGUCUUUAAUUAUUCAAAUGCCCUGAAUCUGAGGCUGGAAGGAAUAGGGCAGAUUUGAGGUAGUGUGAAAAGGCCGUCUGUGAUGGACAUGUGUGCAGAGCCAGGAACAAAGCCAUUCCGUUAUUUUAAACAGCAGAUAAAAUGAGCUUUUUGAAGAGAACGGACAGGAGGAAGCUACAGGCUGCACAGAUCUGGGCUGGGAUCCCGCUUCCACCACUGGUAACAUUCUCUUGAGUUUGUUUAACUUCUCUGAGCUGUAGCUCCCUCUUCUGCAAGUUCAGGUCAUUACUUCUGUGAAGGAUUUCUGCCAAGCUUGAAAAAGAAAAUAGUUAAAAUAUUGUAUGGAAAAUUCAAACAGAAGACAGGUACAAGAAAGAGACCGUGAGCAAGGAUCCAGGUGUUGCUGAAACUAGAAUGGGCUGUUGUGGAAAUUAAAGGAGUUAGUGUUUGCGAAGAAGCCAGCAUGGUGCCUGGUGCAUAUAAAUGGAACACUGCGCUAAAUGAUCCCAACAACCGCAAACCAAGUGAAAACCUCUCUUGUCGUUGUGUGUAGCAGACACUAAUGGCCGUUUCCAAUCAUCUUCACCCUCUGGUCACCUAGCCCACAGCUGGAGAUGCUGAACUUCUCAGAACCUUGAAAACAAAACAACAACAACAACAACAACAGCAACAAAAACAAAGACUGACUGAUAGACGGAAAGAGUGGAAGAGUCUCAAUGCUGCUUCACUUGGUUUUAGAUACAGCGUAAAGAAAACAAUGGAAUGAAUCUAGUUUCUUUUCAUC